GACGAACGCUGGCGGCGUGCUUAACACAUGCAAGUCGAACGGGAACCUUUAUUUCGGUAAAGGUGAGAGUGGCAAACGGGUGAGUAACACGUAGGCAACCUGCCGACAGGAUGGGGACAACAUUCCGAAAGGAAUGCUAAUACCGAAUGGAGUCCGAGGAUGGCAUCAUCCACGGAUAAAAGAUGGCCUCUUAACAAUGCUGUCGCCUGUCGAUGGGCCUGCGUCUGAUUAGCCAGUUGGCGGGGUAACGGCCCACCAAAGCGACGAUCAGUAGCCGGUCUGAGAGGAUGAACGGCCACAUUGGGACUGAGACACGGCCCAGACUCCUACGGGAGGCAGCAGUGGGGAAUCUUCCACAAUGGGCGAAAGCCUGAUGGAGCAACGCCGCGUGAGUGAAGAAGGUCUUCGGAUCGUAAAGCUCUGUUGCACGGGACGAAAACCGAGCUUGAAAAUAUUGAGCUUGGGUGACGGUACCG
rnacentral:rRNA from 1 species